UAUCCCAUUCCUCCCCCUUCCAUCCCAGCAGUAGAGGAAUGAUGCCCAGUGUACCUGAGACCGCCCCCCCGCCCAGCCCAGGUCUGUGUCUCCAGGGCUCCUGUGUGUGACAAACUUCAUGUGAACUUCUUCAAACUGCACAAACUGGGUGACCGCUGGGAGACCUAAAGGGACACCCCUUCUACUACUAUGCCAUUUAUGAGCUCAUGGCGAGAGGCAGCUCCCUGUGCCAUGCCCAUGCCUCUGCGUAUAAGCCUACAGCUGGGACUCAAGCCAAUGUGAAAGGCAUGGCAGUGUUGCUGCAGAUUUCAUGUCUGGGGCCAGUGCUGUGACUUCUGCCAGCCUGGUCACUCUGGCCUCAGCCCUACCCACACAGGAGGUUGCCAGUUGCCUGUCACUGAAAACACUUUGUCUCUGGAUGGGACUGUAGCAGUUGUCUGGUGUUCUGCUGGGGAGGGCCUCUGCCUGUGCCACCCUCCGUGGCUGCCACUGCCACGAACUCUAAUCUGGGCACUUCUGUGAUGCUCUUGACCAAGCCACUGCUGAAGCUGAGCUUUGCCAGGGCCUCCAGCCAGCUGAACCCCAGUCACCUCUGAGUGUCCGGGAGGGGUAGGGGCAAGGGCAGGAGGAAACCAAGGCUCAGACUUGGUUUUCAGGGGAGGGAGGAGUGUAUAGAGAAAACCAGUUGGAAUAAAAGGCUCAGUAAGAUUAGGAAGGUG